AUCUUUUUUUUCUUUCAUUUUUAUAUUUUGUGUCCACCAAGUCAACAUGCAAUUUCAUCAAUUGUUCCGAUGACAUAGAUACAUUUCAUAAUUAGUCAACAUUAACACAUUAAUAAUGCAAAGAUUAAAAAGGGUUCAUAAGUUCAAACAUCCCAUCACUUUCCUUCAUUAUUUAAACAUACAAAAGUGCAGCCAAGCCAUGCCCGAAUGGCUCACAUUCUAACACAUAAGCAGGACAUUCAACAUGACCCGGUUCAUCAACACAUUGUGUUGUUAUCACAGUUAAGUGAAGCUAUUAAUACACUGCCAACAGGUUUGAGGACAAGCAACUGCUUUGAUGUACGACUUCUCUUCCAGUUACACAGGGAUGCAUACUGUGCUACUCAGUAGCCAUGUCCUGCUUAUAAACACGGAGAAACACCUCCACACACUCUGCCCCCUACUUACUGAUGGGAUGGCGGACCAGGGGGCCUGUGAAUUACUGGACUUCAUCAGAUCUCCAAUGCAUACCAACACCUAAGGUUACAGGAGAGUGGUUUGUGUGACAGUCGUCACAUUAGCUCACACCUUGGGAGGUCAGGAACUGGGUAUACAAGUCCAACUGGGCGAGCUGACACCUGCUGAAGCGACACUAUAUCAUUCAAGCUACAUGUGAUGUCCCCAAGACUCCAACUCACAGUAUGGAUGAGUGAAUUUUGCUAAGCAACAUCAGCAACCCUGUUUAUAUAUAUACUUGUACAAUAUCACAACAAGUAAAAGACUAUUUUCACCCUACAAAUAACUAAUUCUUUAACCCUUUUUUUGGAUACUGCGUAGUGUUGUGUCCAAAGUUCAGCUGACGCAAUAGUCCACUCAUCCUUUCUGUGGUUUCACAGUUUAGAGUACAACCACCCCAGAUACCACAAAUAGCUCUGUAAUCAAGACGUGAGCUCAACUCGCCCUGCUAAGUCAACAGCUAAGUUGGCCUUUCAAACAACUUCAUUCGCUGUUAUUGAAAAAAUCACUUAUCAUCUCAAUAGUGUAUUACUUAUGUUACUUGCAUAGCAAAAGAAUCAAUAGAUGACCAGUUAUUACCUCAUUCCAUCUUACAACAAUUGGUUUGGAACUGUU